rnacentral:misc_RNA from 1 species
GAAAAUGUCAAGGGAAAAUGGGUUAGUGUUGCUGCUAUUGUUUUUCUCUUCAUGGAUUACUUCUGCUACAGCUACUGUAACAUAUGAUCAUAAAGCUAUUGUUAUCAAUGGACAAAGAAGGAUCCUUAUUUCUGGUUCUAUUCAUUACCCAAGAAGCACUCCAGAGAUGUGGCCAGGCCUUAUACAGAAAGCUAAAGAAGGAGGCUUGGAUAUGAUACAAACUUAUGUCUUCUGGAAUGGACACGAGCCUACUCAAGGACAAUACUAUUUUGAGGAUAGGUAUGAUAUAGUGAAGUUCAUCAAGCUGGUGCAGCAAGCAGGCCUCUAUGUUCAUCUGCGGAUAGGACCUUAUAUUUGCGCAGAAUGGAACUUCGGGGGAUUUCCUAUGUGGCUAAAAUAUGUUCCUGGGAUUGAAUUUAGAACAGACAAUGCCCCUUUCAAGGAUGCAAUGCAAAAAUUCACAACCAAGAUUGUGGCUAUGAUGAAGGCAGAAAGGUUGUUUGAACCUCAGGGAGGUCCAAUAAUUCUAUCUCAGAUUGAAAAUGAAUAUGGACCAGUGGAAUGGGAAAUUGGUUCACCAGGUAAAUCAUAUACAAAAUGGGCAGCUGCAAUGGCAGUAGGCCUUAAUACAGGAGUCCCAUGGGUCAUGUGCAAACAACAAGAUGCCCCUGAUCCAACUAUUGAUACCUGCAAUGGAUUCUACUGUGAAGGCUACAAACCAAAUAACUACAAUAAACCAAAAAUGUGGACAGAAAAUUGGACUGGUUGGUAUACAGAAUUUGGUGCUACAGUUCCUUACAGGCCACCAGAAGAUACAGCAUUUUCAGUUGCGAGGUUUAUAGCCAAUAGUGGUUCGUUUGUAAAUUAUUAUAUGUAUCAUGGAGGAACCAAUUUUGGUCGAACUUCUGGCCUUUUCAUGGCCACUAGCUAUGAUUAUGAUGCCCCUCUUGAUGAAUAUGGAUUACCACAUGAUCCAAAGUGGGGACAUUUGAGAGAUCUGCAUAAAGCCAUCAAGCUAUGUGAACCUGCUUUAAUCUCUGUAGAUCCUACAAUAACCUCUCUUGGGAAGAAUCAAGAGGCUCAUGUGUACCAAGCAAAAACCGCCUGUGCAGCCUUUCUAGCAAACUAUGACACACAAUAUUCUGUGAAAGUAGUGUUUUGGAAUAAGGAAUACUGGCUUCCACCUUGGUCUAUCAGCAUCCUUCCUGAUUGCAAAACUGUAGUUUACAACACUGCAAGGAUUGGUGCUCAAAGUACACAGAUUUCGAUGAUUCCUGCAGUGAGUGGAUUUUCUUGGCAGUCAUACAAUGAUGAAGUUCCUGUUGGUUAUGGUCAGGGGACAUUUACACAUGAUGGAUUGUGGGAGCAAAAGUUCAUCACGUGGGAUAAAACAGAUUAUUUAUGGUAUAUGACAAAUGUAAACAUAGACCAAAGUGAAGGGUUUUUGAAGAAUGGAAAGAGUCCAUUUCUCACAGUUAAUUCAGCUGGCCAUGUGUUGCAUGUUUUCAUCAAUGGUCAACUAGCAGGAACUGUGUAUGGAUCAUUAGACGAUCCUAAGGUAAAGUUCAGCCAAAAUGUGAAUUUGAAAGCUGGUACAAAUACCAUCUCCCUGUUGAGUGCUACCGUGGGUCUUCCGAAUGUUGGUGUGCAUUAUGAUACAUGGAAUGCUGGGGUUAUGGGCCCAGUCACAUUAUCAGGUUUAAAUCAAGGAACAUUAGACAUGUCAAAGUGGAAAUGGUCUUACAAGAUUGGUGUAAAAGGCGAAGACUUAAACCUAGGAACCUCUGCUGGGAGUUCAUCAGUUCGCUGGGCUCAAGGACCACAAUUGUCUAAAAAACAACCACUAACAUGGUACAAGACUAGCUUUGAUGCACCACCAGGCAAUGACCCAUUAGCUUUAGAUAUGAGUGGUAUGGGAAAAGGUCAAAUAUGGGUAAAUGGUCAGAGUAUAGGACGCCACUGGCCUGGAUAUA